rnacentral:misc_RNA from 1 species
AAAAAAAAAUCAAAUAAUUAUGUGUUUAGUUGGUGUUACGGGGAGAUUCCCUUCGUUCUCUUUGAACGCUUCUGUUGGCUCCUUCCAUUUCGAUGUGUGUGUUUUAACACACACACACACACACAAGAGGAUGAACUUUCCCUUUGUCUGUGUUACCUGUGCACGAUACCGUUAAAUAAGAGGAACAGUUAUCGAGACUAGAUGGAGUUGGCUUUCAAUUCAGCUCGGACGUAUACUCAUCCUUGACGGCCAUGACACACUUUGUGUGUCGCCGUUUGGGGUUGGAAGACGCGAGAAUCGAUCGACGGCCCAUGGACCGUCGUGACCCGCCGCCAGGAGGCACCAGCGAACGAUUCAAGAGUUAAAGACAAAACACAUUUCAAUUUUCAAGAACCAAUGGAAACAAGGGCAAACACACUUUCAUUUCACGUUUCCGAAAUUGAACAGCAGACACGAGAGGAGAACAACCUGGAGCUGAGAGACGUGUGCGGAUCGAUCCAGCCCAAGUCUCUCCAGAGAGGUCACAUUGCGCUCCACUUCUUGUCUGUCCCGUUUUAUUCUUUACUCCUCCUCUUGUCUCGUCUCUUUACGUAUAGAUCCUCUCUUUUUUAAGGCUCGGAUUGACACACAAACAUUGACACACAUAUUCAGGUUACACGUCCAGCUUGUGUUCUCAGAGCCUCCUUCUUUAAUGAUUACAUAGCGUCUUAUGAAGUCAGCUAUAAAAAGAUGAAUGGAAAGGACAGGAUCUAUAUACGCGACAGCCGGAUGAUUCACCAUGUCACAGCUCGGCGAUUGUUAAUGUGAUGCUCAAUGCCGUUGCUCUUGAUGUUGACGUCUAGCAUUAAGCGGGUUCAUGUUAACGUUCUUUUCACAAAGAAGUUCACGUCCCUCCUACACCCGUCGGCAGCCAAUAACGAGAUGUCUACACAAAUGUGGUGUUAGUUUAUUUAACUGUUCAAGGUUCUGUUUCUUCGUCUCUGACCUAUUGACCUCAAUUUGCCAUUAUCAUUUGAUUCAUUUCUUUACACGAGAAAGAUCGGCUGAAUCGAUCCCAGUGACGUCUAUCUGCAUUCGUAAUGUGGAAGAUGUGGGGGUGCCAUUUUCAAUGGAAUAUCAUGGCCCUGCGGGAGUUUCACCCCCCCUCCUUAUAAAUGUUUUCUCUCUUUGAUUGUGACGCACGUGCUCUAUACUCGCAAAACAAUUUUUUUUUUUCGAUCUUAUCAUCUCUCACUCUCUUCAAUUGCUGCAAUGUAGCGGUGGCGCUGUUCUAAUUGGACUGUCUAACGUGUCACGCGUUUUUCACCUGUGUCGGGGCAAAUGGCGGAUCUGCGCGCGCUCCCGCAGGGGGAGAUUAUUUCCGCAACAAACUUUUUUUUUUUUUUGUGCUUUUUAUUUGUUUUUUUUUUAAAGAUCCCACCCUCCUUUCUCCCCUCCCGCCCUGAUUUCGCUUCGGACGUGCCGCCAAUCCCGCACGAAGAGGUGGGCGUCACCCUUUUUUUCACGAACGGCGUGCGAAAUUUCGUGAGCGCAUGAUCCUGACGGGGUUGGAACAUUUAUCGGUUUUGUUCGGGAGCUCUCCCGCUCACGCCCACAUCUCCUCCCCCUUCGCGUGUGCGGAUCUGUCCGACACGAGCAGCGAUCCACGCACGUCAAGGUUAAAAUGGAAGGGACAGCAGCAGGUCCUGCGCGUUCCUUUAGUUUUCUCUCCGCUCUGUUCAUCCCCUUCCUCCUUUUUAUUUAUUUUUAUUUUUAUUUUUUGACUGUGCGUUCGUGACGUCGGUCGGAGAGGGCGUUGACUAAAAACGGAACACGCUCCGCUUUGGCCGCAAUAUCGACGGAGGGUCCCGCAGUCUCGAACGGCCAAGCGAAACGGUGAAAACGGACCGGCCGGAUCUGCAGGAAGCAGCUCCCCCCCUCUCAUCCAACGAAACCAAAUUUUGGUUUAGUUUUUUGUUUUGGUUUAGUUUUUGUUUUUGUUAUAAUUUCUUCCGGUGGCGGAAUUGUUUAUCUUCUUACUGACGCAAUUCUGACGCUGACGCAUUGCCAGACGCUGCCGUUUGAUUUUCGUCCUAUGCUGCAGGCCAUCCGCCAUUCUCUCGUCUACAAUCUGCGUUACAAAGGACCUUUGACGAAGAGUUGGACGGGCUUCACAUCAUCAGGACGAAUCAACUCGAACCCCAGCAUCCGUACGAGUUUCAUCGACAACAUGAGUUUAGAACUGCUUUUAUUUUUCACGA